CUUUCUUCCUCCUCCUUCGCUGACGUCAUUUUCCACAUAUGACGAGGCCUCACUUCCCUGAAGGGUCUCUCGCGUUUGCUCGGCUCAGCAGCAUUCAGCGAUUCUGAGGUCUGGAAAGAUUGAAGACUGUCUUGGAUGGAAACAUUGCAGGACUGGAGCACACAAGAUGUUUACAGCAGGAGAGCUUAGGAGGUGCUUCCCAGACACAUUCACUCAUUUGAUAGGUGGCCUUUGGAGGAACAAUCUGUAGGAUGUACAAAAAGGAACUUCCCUGAUGGAAGAAAAAGAGAAAUAACUGUGAAAAGAGAAUUAUGAAUCAGCUUUGGUGACUACACAGCAAUGAGGAUCCUUAUUGGAAUCCAUCAUAAUGAAUACAUAUAUACACAACUUGCUUCCAGUCUCCUUCUUGGCUCAAUACAAGGUGCUGAUUUUGACCUUUCAAAAGCCCUCUGCAGUUUGAGUCCAAAAUACCUUGAAGAAUCGCCUUGUUCCAGUUGACUGUUUGCUAAUGUGGUUUUUAUGAUGAUGACUGAUUGUUUUAACUGGUUUUAUUUUUAUGGCUGUUUUGAGUUACCUUGGCAACCUUGUAUAAUGUCAGAAUGUGGCAUAAAAAACAAAACAUUUUA